GCCUAAUACAUGCAAGUCGAACGCACUCUCGUUAGAUUGAAGGAGCUUGCUCCUGUAUUGAUAAACAUUUGAGUGAGUGGCGGACGGGUGAGUAACACGUGGGUAACCUGCCCUAAGUGGGGAUAACAUUUGGAAACAGAUGCUAAUACCGCAUAAAACCUAACACCGCAUGGUGUAGGGUUGAAAGAUGGUUUCGGCUAUCACUUUAGGAUGGACCCGCGGUGCAUUAGUUAGUUGGUGAGGUAAAGGCUCACCAAGACCGUGAUGCAUAGCCGACCUGAGAGGGUAAUCGGCCACACUGGGACUGAGACACGGCCCAGACUCCUACGGGAGGCAGCAGUAGGGAAUCUUCCACAAUGGACGAAAGUCUGAUGGAGCAACGCCGCGUGAGUGAAGAAGGUUUUCGGAUCGUAAAACUCUGUUGUUGGAGAAGAAUGUAUCUGAUAGUAACUGAUCAGGUAGUGACGGUAUCCAACCAGAAAGCCACGGCUAACUACGUG
rnacentral:rRNA from 1 species